UACGGGAGGCAGCAGUGAGGAAUAUUGGUCAAUGGCCGAGAGGCUGAACCAGCCAUGCCGCGUGCGGGAGGACGGCCCUAUGGGUUGUAAACCGCUUUUUUGUGGGAGCAAUAAGGGUCACGUGUGACCUGAUGAGAGUACCAUGAGAAUAAGCAUCGGCUAACUCCGUGCCAGCAGCCGCGGUAAU
rnacentral:rRNA from 1 species